GAUCAGCACGACAAAGACAACAAACUCACAACUUUGUUUCGCCUCGUUUGUUCAUGAAUUUCCGACAAAACCAAAACUCUCUCCAACUUUCCAAAACCACACCUAAAUAUAAAUGUAAAUCCAAUAAACUCCCAGUUUCUCGAAAAUCGUGCAUCAAACCUAAAAUCCAUCAGCGCCAUUGGUUCCAGAAUAGUUGAACCGUUCAAAACGAGCUAUAGGAUCACUAUGAACGGAGUCUGAUACGUGCCAGAAGCCAACUCUACUCAUCAGCCUCUCCGGAUAAUCGGAGUUACUAUUCACUUUAAGUGAUUAGUAAUGAUCGGGUAACUUUUCCAUUCUAACUCAUUUUGUGUUGAAACUUGACGAGUGCUUUUGUAAUUAAAUUACACACAAAAAUAUCGUCAACAGAGAGUUUAG
rnacentral:lncRNA from 1 species